UGACUGCUAAGUGUGGGAGUGGCCUUCCUCCUCUUAGUGCUGCAGGUAUCGCAGUAAGCACUCCCCCUCGCGGAGUAGGGUCGCAAGAUUGAAACUCAAAGGAAUUGACGGGCGCCCGCACAAGCGGUGGAGCAUGUGGCUUAAUUAGAAGCAACGCGAAGAACCUUACCAGGUCUUGACAUCCUCUGACAACCCUAGAGAUAGGGCUUUCCCUUCGGGGACAGAGUGACAGGUGGUGCAUGGUUGUCGUCAGCUCGUGUCGUGAGAUGUUGGGUUAAGUCCCGCAACGAGCGCAACCCUUGAUCUUAGUUGCCAGCAUUCAGUUGGGCACUCUAAGGUGACUGCCGGUGACAAACCGGAGGAAGGUGGGGAUGACGUCAAAUCAUCAUGCCCCUUAUGACCUGGGCUACACACGUGCUACAAUGGACAGAACAAAGGGCUGCAAGACCGCAAGGUUUAGCCAAUCCCAUAAAUCUGUUCUCAGUUCGGAUCGCAGUCUGCAACUCGACUGCGUGAAGCUGGAAUCGCUAGUAAUCGCGGAUCAGCAUGCCGCGGUGAAUACGUUCCCGGGCCUUGUACACACCGCCCGUCACACCACGAGAGUUUGCAACACCCGAAGUCGGUGAGGUAACCUUUAUGGAGCCAGCCGC
rnacentral:rRNA from 1 species